UGCUUCCAUAAUGAUGGAGGUUCGUCAAAAUUGUUCGUGUUUUUCCUAUCGUUAGUAAAAGAAUUCAAGUGUAUUAGAUCUAUUCAUGAAUAAUGACUUUGUGAUGCCUGGUAUCGUCUCGGCUGAUGGAUACAUAUAGAAUCUGCCGUACUACUAGUAGACCUACACUGAGUAUGACCUUGGGAAUUAGAAUUGACUGUCGACUUCGGAUGAAGAUCAGAAACGUACAUCAGAGAUGAACCUGAUGCUUAGAUUUUGAUUUUUCAUCAUCAAUAAAGAUCAGAAACGUACAUGAGAGAUGAACCUGAUGCUUAGAUUUUGAUUUUUCAUCAUCAAUAAAGGGUACUGCUUCCUACAGUUGUUGAGAAAGGGAAUUUUCAUUGUGCAAGUCAGUUGUACAUAUGUAAGAGAGUCAAUCAAAGAAAUGUACAUCAGAGAUGAACAUGACGCUUAGAUUUUUUGUGCAUUUAGGCAACACCCAUCAGCCACACAAUUCUCAAUUUAUAGGACCCGAAACAGUGCUGCGACUUUUUUUUUAUUUCUAUUUCAUUCUGACAUUGUUUUGAAUGAGUAAUUAAUUAUUGACUGUAUUAUUAUGACAGCAAAGUGUUUCGGCGGUUUGAUAUCGUAUUGGUGUAUUAAAAAUCAAAAUCACGGCCCCGCCUUCCUCAAGGAUCCAACCGUAAUUUCUAUUGUGGCAAAUAGCUUUUGUAAGCAAAUCACUAAUACUUUUAUGUUUAGCAUAUGCAAUCAUUGGUUUUGUUUGAAAGAUUUCUUUGCAUGUUUCAUCUUUUAAAACUAAUGACCAGUAUUUUUAAUAAUUUGGAUUUCAGCCCUUUGAUUCUUGGGUCACACUUUGUAAUUAGAACAAUAGGUAUUUCCUUUGUUUUCUUGGUUUUAUGUAACGUUAUGACUGUUUUCAGCUAAGGAUUCAUUAAUAAUUGUGUCAAUCUCA